rnacentral:rRNA from 1 species
AACGAACGCUGGCGGCAUGCCUAACACAUGCAAGUCGAACGAGACCUUCGGGUCUAGUGGCGCACGGGUGCGUAACGCGUGGGAACCUGCCCUUAGGUUCGGAAUAACUCCCCGAAAGGGGUGCUAAUACCGGAUAAUGUCUUCGGACCAAAGAUUUAUCGCCUUUGGAUGGGCCCGCGUUGGAUUAGCUAGUUGGUAGGGUAAAAGCCUACCAAGGCGACGAUCCAUAGCUGGUCUGAGAGGAUGAUCAGCCACACUGGGACUGAGACACGGCCCAGACUCCUACGGGAGGCAGCAGUGGGGAAUAUUGGACAAUGGGCGAAAGCCUGAUCCAGCAAUGCCGCGUGAGUGAUGAAGGCCUUAGGGUUGUAAAGCUCUUUUACCCGGGAUGAUAAUGACAGUACCGGGAGAAUAAGCCCCGGCUAACUCCGU